GUUAGAUAAUUAUCGCUAUGAUCUUGAUUUUGCGCUACCAUUAAGAUCUGCGGACGCCCCUCGUGAAAAUAAAAGUCCUCAGAAAUUAAAAUGGAACAAAACUAUUCUCAUAACUUCAGAAUAUGUGAGAGUUUUAGUCUGAAAUUAGAUUUAACACGAAGCUCAAACUUGCCAUAUCCUACUUCGCCUUCACGGACGUCACUUCACUUCAAAUGCAGAUAAAAAAAAUCAGGCUUUCUCUUUCUCUUUUUUUUUUUUUUUUUUUUUUUUUUUUUUUUUUUGUAAAUAAUUGACAUAAAAAGUCGAAAUUAUGACACGGGUGGAGGACUAACAUACAAUUAUACCUGUCCAUGAUGUCAUAUACUAAUAAAAGUUAGUAUUUGUUAAAAAUAUAUAUCUUUCUCUGACAAGAUAUUAUUACAGCAUUCAGCAGUUCAAAUUUUUUUUUAUCUAAACAUCAAAAUUGUCAUAUGUCACUGUAUGGGCUAGUGUGACCUUACUAAUAUAUGACCAUAUAUCUCAGCAAAGUAUAAAUAAUUCAUAGAUAAUUUACAGUUUAAGUAACAGAAUUAGGCGUUUUUAAUGAACACGUGUUGAUGUCUGUACAUGAUUUUAAAGCAAGUUCUGGCUAAAAACGUUUCGUCGUAAAAUGGCCGUCAUAUGGUGUGACAUUACGAUCUAUAUUUUAAACGGGCAAUAUUUUGGACAUCAUUAUGAUGGAGAGGUCGGCAUUCAACCAGGAAGUUGCAGUGUCAUCUCUGGAGUGGUUUGGAAGGUCAAGAGGCUGGUAAAGAGAGGACACACAAAUACAGGGAGAGACUCAAUGCUGACCAUGCAAGGAGAGAGGAGGUCCUGAGGGAAAGGAGGAAAAAGUAUAAAGAGAAGAUAUGAAGAGGAAAACUCAAGGAAUUCAGUGUGCACUCCCUUCCUCCUUCAAGACGAGAAAAUGAGAGAGAUGCAGAAAAGAAAUACAGAAAAAGAAAAAAGAAGAGAAUGCCAUUUUAAACCUGACCCCUCCAUCUCCUGAAGCGUCUCUGAAUGAAGAUAAUGCAAAUAAUACAAUACAAUAAUUGUAAAUUGAUGAUAAUUUUACUGUUUACCAAUUAUAAUUGUUGUUACACACACUCGUCUCUAAUUUUAAAAUGUUCAUGUUGAAGGUUCUUUACGUGAGAUGUUUGAUUUACUCAUAUUUCUGAGUUUCUUAACAUUUUAAAAGUUUAAAAAAAAAAAAAAAAAAAAUGAUGUUAGUAUGUUUGAUUUUUAGUCUUAAUUGAAUUGAAUUUAUUAAAUGUAAAUAAAUACUUUUUUUUUUUUUUUUUUUUUUUUCUUCAUUGGCAUUGUGGUGUGCAGUUCAUACAGUGUGACAUUCAGAAUUAUGACAAUAAAUAAUUAGUUAUAAAUCAUAAAGUCAGUGGAACACGAGAGAAAUGGUAUCAGCAAGAGUCACAAGCAUUUUGUUAGAUUUAUAACAGGGUUUGUCAGAAUUAAUCUAAAAUAUCUGGAAGGGCUGAGUGAGGAGAGAUGUCUUUGCAUGAUGAUGCACAAAAAAAUGUUAAAUCUUAAAAUAGUAAUGAUAAAGAUUUAUGAUGAAGUUAGUUAAUAACUUUUAAGUCACAACAUAUGACAAUUUAAGCAUAAAUGCAACAAAUUUGAUGAAUAAAUCCAAUUUCCAAUACAAAAUCUAAA